UUCGAUUACUCCUACGGGAGGCAGCAGUGAGGAAUAUUGGUCAAUGGGCGCAAGCCUGAACCAGCCAUCCUGCGUGCAGGAAGACGGCGCUAUGCGUUGUAAACUGCUUUUCCAGGGGGAGAAACUUGCGCACGUGUUGCGCAAUUGACGGUACCCUGGGAAUAAGCAUCGGCUAACUCCGUGCCAGCAGCCGCGGUAAUACGGAGGAUGCGAGCGUUAUCCGGAUUCAUUGGGUUUAAAGGGUGCGUAGGCGGACUAUUAAGUCAGUGGUGAAAUCCUGCAGCUUAACUGCAGAACUGCCAUUGAUACUGAUAGCCUUGAGUUUGGUUAAGGUAGGCGGAAUGUGUAAUGUAGCGGUGAAAUGCUUAGAUAUUACACAGAACACCAAUUGCGUAGGCAGCUUACUGAGCCGACACUGACGCUGAGGCACGAAAGCGUGGGGAUCGAACAGGAUUAGAUACCCUGGUAGUCA
rnacentral:rRNA from 1 species